UACAGAGGUCCCAAGCGUUGUUCGGAAUUAUUGGGCGUAAAGAGCUCGUAGGCGGUCUGUCGCGUCGAUCGUGAAAACUUGGGGCUUAACCCUGAGCUUGCGGUCGAUACGGGCAUGACUGGAGUUCGGCAGGGGAGACUGGAAUUCCUGGUGUAGCGGUGAAAUGCGCAGAUAUCAGGAGGAACACCGGUGGCGAAGGCGGGUCUCUGGGCCGAUACUGACGCUGAGGAGCGAAAGCGUGGGGAGCGAACAGG
rnacentral:rRNA from 1 species